AACGAACGCUGGCGGCGUGGAUAAGACAUGCAAGUCGAACGGGACAACAUCUGUAGCAAUACAGGUGUUGUUUAGUGGCGAACGGGUGCGUAACACGUGGGCAAUCUGCCGAGAAGUGGGGGAUAGCUCGCCGAAAGGCGAAUUAAUACCGCAUAUGAUCAGUGAAGACAUCUUCACGACAUCAAAGCCGGGGCAACUUGGCGCUUCUUGAUGAGCCCGCGGCCUAUCAGCUAGUUGGUGAGGUAACGGCUCACCAAGGCUAUGACGGGUAGCUGGUCUGAGAGGACGACCAGUCACACUGGAACUGAGACACGGUCCAGACACCUACGGGUGGCAGCAGUCGAGAAUUUUUCUCAAUGGGGCAACCCUGAAGGAGCGACGCCGCGUGGAGG
rnacentral:rRNA from 1 species